CAAACAUGGCAUCAUAGAGAAACCAAACGUCCCAUGGCACCUAGAAAUUGGUGUCCAUGAAGAAAUCAAUGCCUAGUAGCCUUGAAUACAUCUUUGUUUCUCUCUGAUAAAUAAAAAGUUAGAAUGGAUGUUGGUAUUGUUGUUUAAUUGAUUCUUGGUUGUUAGAGAUAUAGGGAUUCCGAAAAGUGAUAUUGAUGCAUCGAUCUUAAUUUUUGAUUUUGUGAUUUAGGUGUGAUUGUAUCUUGUUGAGCGUUGGCUGUUUUAGUGUUUCAGAUUUCUCCUCUGUAACUCUAUUUGUUCUCGAUAUUGCUAUUUCAAAAAUCAUUUUGGGAAAAAAUAUUCAAUGUUUGAAAGAGUUCAAUCGUUCAUUUGAAUUUUUUGUUUCAUAAAAUCAUUCGAAACUUGUUGGUUACUUGGUUAUUUCAGUCUUCAGAAAUCAAAUCAGAUUUCUACUCUGUUUGUGUUUGUGCUCGAUCCGUAAAUCAUUUGGCAACCAGAUAUAUAUGAACAUUUCAGAAAUCAGAUUUUAAGAUUUUAGAACUAUAUUUCCGAGUUUUGACUUUGCUGCCUAAAGAUUUGUUCUAAUCAAAUUUCUGAUUUCUAGAGGCUGUCUAAAGAUCAUUUCUAAUCAGAAUGUAUCUCUCUUUUGAAAUCGUUUCUCCAAAGUACGAUGACUCGAGAAAGAUUGAAUGUAUUAACAAUUUUAAGUACUGAAAGUGAUUUAAAAAAAAUAUUGAUUAUUAUACAAUAAAAGAUGUUUUCGCUUAAAAAAA